UUCGCUCCUUUAACCCCCUUAGCAACGACCCCGCGGCGCCCGAUCCCGCGCCUGUGUCUCGCCCUCAGUUCAUGAGCAAAAUCCUGAAUCGGAAAAGCCCGGCGAUGAGGAAAAGCAGCGCAAUUAAAACCAAAACCCAGCCAUGAGUUCUGCCCGCGCGCACAAGCAGGGCUUCACUUUAUUGACGAAUUUUUAGUCAGGCUUUCUUUCGAGGCUGCCCUGAGAAAGCAGAGCGCUGAUUGGUGCGUGGCGAGGUCCUCAGAGAGCGACUUGCCUUGGAUUGGAUAGGAAGCAGGCAAGUUGACCCGCCCACGGAGGGGGCUUAGGUGGAGAGCCUCGGAGGAGUACUGUCGCGGCGUUUGUCUAGGCGUCAGGAAAUACGAUUCCCAGCAUGCACCGUUGCCGCCGCAAGCCAGGGAGCUCCAGGCCGGGGCUCUGUAGUGCAUGCCGGGAGUUGUAGUGUGCCAGGGACCCAGUGCUGCCGGUGGAGGCGGAGGAGCUUCGCCCAGACGCUGCUGAGGGAGGGAGGAGCGGCGCCGGAGACGGGCUGCUGGGACCCCCCGGGGCUCUCAGGGCUUUGAUGCUGCCAGUGCAGGGCUCCAUAGGCAACAGCCUGGACGCCCUGGAGGGCUCGUGGGCAGCCUCCCCGAGUCCGCUGUUAACCCAGGACCGUUGCGUGUUACCCAGCGGGGCGGGCGCGCAGGAGCGUUUCCACGUGCUUCCCCCGCAGGCAGCGCAGUGUAAACAGUAGAUCCAGGCUUGGUGUCAAGUCUACCACAGGGCUCGGCUCAGCCAUGGGCCCAAGGCAGGGGAGAUUUGCACAGCCUACCUAGCCCAGUGGUUCUCGACAUUUUUGUCCCAUUUGUAAACGUGGAUGGCCGGUCCAGACCCAGUGCCCCUUAGGCCCGAGGCCCCCCUCCGUGUGCGGGAGCUGGGGACAGGUGUGGGCCAUGGAGCUGUGCCAGCCUGCAAGGAAAAAGCCAGAGGUGCCUGUAUAUAGUGAGCUGAACCAGAACUCUGGAAACAAGUAUCCCACAUUUUUCAUAGAAUAUCAGGUUACCUGGAGAAGUUGUGAAACCUUCAUCCCUGGGAAUUUUCAAGAACAGGUUUCACAGAUACUUGGCUAGAAUGAUUUAGUCCGGGACAAUCCUGCUUGAACAGGGAACUCAUGACCUUCCAAGCAUAUUUUCCUGUGAUCCUAUUUUUUUCAUCAAUAUUUGGAACUUCUGAAAGACCUUCCAGAAAUCAGCCUUAAAAUAAAAUAAAAGGCAGAGCCUUGCAGUCACUGUCCUACAAUUUUUUCAUGGAGCACACCAAAGAAAAUGGGCCACUUACCUCUUGGAUCCAUUUUGUAGAGGGAAAAUUCACCAAAAUAAUCUUUACAUGCUCUCACUCUCUCUCUCACACAAACAUAUACACAACUAUAUCUAAAGAAUGCUCAGAUUCCAAAGUCCAAUAUUCAAAAGAAAAGAAAUUCCAGAAUUGAGUUUGUCUACUCUGUCUUAAUUUGGGCACAUGCGCAUGUGCAUUAUGGUUUAGUUUGUAAUUACAUGAUCCCAUACUAUUCUUUCUACAGUACCUCUGCAUUGCAACAGCUGUAGGGUAUGACAUGGUGACUAGACGGAGUCUAUGACUUGGUAGAGAAAGGAGGACAGACAGCAAUGGUGAAAGCUAAUAGAGGAGAUGAUGGAUUGUAUAUGAUGCACAAUUGGCAUUGUAUAGCUAUACAUGCCUGUGUAUUCCUCCCUGGCUGCUUGGGGCCUUACUAACAACCAAUAAAGAUUUUCUGUGUCUA